rnacentral:rRNA from 1 species
UCGGAGGAAAAGAAACCAACAGGGAUUGCCCUAGUAACGGCGAGUGAAGCGGCAACAGCUCAAAUUUGAAAUCUGGCUUCGGCCCGAGUUGUAAUUUGCAGAGGAAGCUUUAGGCGCGGCACCUUCUGAGUCCCCUGGAACGGGGCGCCAUAGAGGGUGAGAGCCCCGUAUAGUUGGAUGCCUAGCCUGUGUAAAGCUCCUUCGACGAGUCGAGUAGUUUGGGAAUGCUGCUCAAAAUGGGAGGUAAAUUUCUUCUAAAGCUAAAUACCGGCCAGAGACCGAUAGCGCACAAGUAGAGUGAUCGAAAGAUGAAAAGCACUUUGAAAAGAGGGUUAAAUAGCACGUGAAAUUGUUGAAAGGGAAGCGCUUGUGACCAGACUUGCGCCGGGCGGAUCAUCCGGUGUUCUCACCGGUGCACUCCGCCCGGCUCAGGCCAGCAUCGGUUCUCGCGGGGGGAUAAAGGUCCUGGGAACGUAGCUCCUCCGGGAGUGUUAUAGCCCGGGGCGUAAUGCCCUCGCGGGGACCGAGGUUCGCGCAUCUGCAAGGAUGCGCUAGACGGGCUG